CCUACGGGAGGCAGCAGUGGGGGAUAUUGCACAAUGGGGGAAACCCUGAUGCAGCGACGCCGCGUGGGUGAAGAAGUAUUUCGGUAUGUAAAGCCCUAUCAGCAGGGAAGAAAGAAGACGGUACCUGACUAAGAAGCCCCGGCUAACUACGUGCCAGCAGCCGCGGUAAUACGUAGGGGGCGAGCGUUAUCCGGAUUCACUGGGUGUAAAGGGAGCGUAGACGGCCGUGCAAGCCAGGAGUGAAAGCCCGGGGCCCAACCCCGGGACUGCUCUUGGAACUGUGCGGCUGGAGUGCGGGAGGGGCAGGCGGAAUGCCUGGUGUAGCGGUGAAAUGCGUAGAUAUCAGGAGGAACACCGGCGGCGAAGGCGGCCUGCUGGACCGCGACUGACGUUGAGGCUCGAAAGCGUGGGGAGCGAACAGGAUUAGAUACCCUGGUAGUC
rnacentral:rRNA from 1 species